CUUGCCUGCACUGAAAAAGGUGUUCCAGGUGUUCCUGCUGCUGGGGGAUAUGCACUGAAACCCUCAGAUUGAGAAGCAUAGUUUUCUAGAGCAGAAGCAGAGUGUAUCUUUAAAGAAACAAACAAGAAAUUAAUGUAAUGCUGACUGCGCAGCUGCACUAUGCUGAAGUUCCUGAAGGGAAGACUGCGUUGCACUCUGAGCAAGUCCAGGGAUGGCAGGAAGAGACAGAAGUCCUGGAAAAACUGUAUUUCCAGGGGCCUGGAGUCCAGACGUCAGGCUAAAAAUGCAGAAGCAGAACAUUUUCAAAUUCACACAGUCAACAGUACAAAAAAAAAUGAUAAUUGUUACAUUCCAAUCUAUGACCGUACUGCUUAUAUAGAUACAAUGUAUGGAAGCAAUCAACAUUUGAUCAAGAAGUGUUUUUAAUGUGAA